GGGAGAGCAGAACUUGGACUGAGUCCUGCAGGACACAGAUGUAGUUUCACUCUUCUUGCCCAGGCUGGAGUGUAAUGGUGCGAUCUUGGCUCGCUGCAAUCUCUGUCUCCCAGGUUUAAGUGAUUCUCCUGCCUCAGCCUCCUGAGUAGUUGAGAUUACAGAUCAGUAACCCUGUACAGGGACUGUGUUCACAGGAUAUAAGGCAAAAAAAAUCCAUCUUCUCAUAAGAGCUUUAGAGACUCUUAGGCUUCUUUACUAGGACAGCUGAGCUCUAAAGCAUGUGAACUUCACCCACCACAACUGUUUGCUCCAUCUCAAGCUCAGAACCCUGCCCUGUCUGCCUAACCACAAGUAUCCAACCCAGUAUCUACAAAUAAAUGCUUCACUCAUCUACUCCUUUCAUGAAACAUUGCAAAUCUUUUUCUUACUAGUGCUUGGGCUUGCUUUUUUUUUUUUUUUUUUUUCUUUGCAAGGAAACAUAUAGAUGAGCCUCAAGAGAUUUAGAAAUCUUUUCAGAGUAACCAGCUGAAUGUCAGAAAGUCAUAUUUGGAGGCCAAUCUAGUUAGAUUAGAUAAAUAGUUUUUAAUUUUAACAAACUGUCUUCCUUUUCUAACUGGACCUCUGAUCUCACAGAAGCCAACAAAGUAUUUGCAGUUUAUAGGAUCUAAUUUUAAAAUAUGUGAAGAGUAGGCACAUCUGGAAGGCAGGGCAUCUAGAUCUUUGAAAAUCAAAAAUCCCGAAUUUCACAUUGAAUCUGAGGUCUCUAAAAGAAGGGACAUGCCACAAGACCAAGCCACACAAUUUUUCCACACUGCACAAUGCUGUAGAAACAUGUCUUCAAGGCUAGUAGCACAGCAACAAUCAGCCCACUUUUAAUCAGACCAUCCCCAAAGGAAAUCAUAUUCAUUGGUGGUGUUUUCACAGCCUUUAAACUGUGUCCAAACUGCACCUUUCUCAUCUAAACUUGCAAAGAAACAAGGAGCCCCCUGCAAUCACAACCAUUUAUUGCAACGGCUCUCAGCCAUCUCCAAACUGCAGCCCUCACCAGUGACCCAGCAGCCGUUGCACUCACAAAGGACGUGUCUCUCACAGUACAAAGUAAUGCCUGGUACUCACAAAACCAAAGCAAUCAGCCAAGAUGAAAUAAAAGAGAGCAGAGCUGCAGACCUGGAGGAGCCUGUCCCUGACUCUGGACUCCACAAGGAGAACAGGAGACCCCCAAAAGGGGUUCCGCCGAGCCCGUCCCUUGGCGGUGGUGUCACUGGAUGCUGGGAAGAGAUGGUGGGAAGAGCCUCCAUCCAUUGGCGCGUCACUAAUUAGACAAGGAGGCCUUGGGCUCCCUUGAGAGAGUCACGGUUUCUCCUCCGUUGACCCGCCCUUCAUUGAACUCCUUUACUUGGAUAUUCAGAGCGCUGGACAGAGAUCACUUGGCGCUAACACCCUCGGAGGUCCUCACGGCGCUCCGUCGGAAUGACACAGUCGGAUUCCCAAGCUGCGAAGGGUGAGGGAGGGACUGCAGCGCAGGAACUGAGGAGGAGAGGCCCGCGCGCCCACUGGAGCCGAGCGGUGAGGAAUAACCGGACCGACCCCCGACGGUGCGUGACAGGCUAGAGCAGCGGCGCUAUCAUAGCUCACUGCAGCCUCGAACUGGUGAACUGGAGGGAUCUUCCCAACCAUCUUUUGUCUUUUUUAAGAAGAAAAAUACAAAAGCUUUUAUAUAGGCUUACACACAGCUACAGAGCAAAUCUUUAUCGUAUAUCCAAGAUUAUCAACCACUUGACUGUACAACCAGGAAUCAUAACACAUUUGAGAACAACCAGUGGCAAAAUAGGAAAAUGGGCCAAUGAAGAAGAUAGGUGACUAAUAAAUAAAAAUCUGAUAUCAAGUGUAGGCAAGUUGUAGGGAAAAUGGGUGAUGAACGAAUAGAACAAAUGCCUGGGGUAAACAUCAUUCGAAAGCCCAGAAAGAAGCUUUUAGACAUCUUUAUUGCUUUUUGGGGGGGCGGGGGGGGUGGGGUUCUGGAGGAUUGAUGGCUGAACUCUCAUGAAAAGGGUGCAGUCAGAGAACAAGAAAGAGUUCCCAGGAAUUAAAAUUGUAAACAGAAAAGCAAAUUCAGGGUAAUUGCUGAAAGACCCACCAAAGGAUCUCCAAGAUACAAUUGAGAAAAUCAACCCUAACAUAAAGGCAAAAGACAAAGGUGGGUUAUUUGAGCGAGAAGUGGUUUGAGGAUUUGCAAAUAUUUGUUUAGUAUUGAAUAUGUGCCAAGCACACAUUACAGAAUACGUUACUUAUGGGAAGUAACUUAGCCUUGAAGUAGCUCUGUGAGGAUGCAUGUGUUUCCUUUACCUAUAAUUCUAUAGGAAAGGCAAUUUUUAAAAAUAAAUCAAGGUUGGAUUUCAUCAAUUUUACAGAAUACGCAUAACUUUAUAAAAUUUUCAAAAUUCUCUAAAAACCUAUUGAGAUAAUUAAACAAGCGUUUUUCUCCUUUAGUCUGUUAAUGUGGAGAAGUAUUUUCUGAUGUUGAAACAUACUUGCAUUCCUGAUAUAAGCCAUACGUAUGAUAACAUAUUUUGCUUGUUUGCUAUUAUUAAUUCUGAAUUUGGUUCACUAAGAUUUUGUUUGAUUUUGCAUGUAUAUUUGUAAGUGAGAUUGGUCUAUAAUUUUCUUGUGUGGUUUUGGUAUCAUGCUAUAACAGCUUCUGAAAAUGUGUUAGAAAGUGUUUUCUUGUUAAAGUUUUAAACCUUCUGAGAAUUGGUUGAGGAGGAGCUUGAAAAUUUGUUAAAAUUCACCAUAAAAAUAUCAGGACCUGAAAUUUUGUUAUUGUUGUCAGUAAAUAAAAAUUAUCAACUGUCUUUUUAAUUGCUUUACUGAUUAUUGCUCUAUUCAUAAUAUCCAUUUUUUCAUGAGUCAGUUUUGGUAAUUUACAUUUAUCGAGAUAGUUGUCCGUUUCAUCUAAGUUUUAAAAUAUAUUGGUACAGCUAUUGUGGUAUUCUCUGAAUAAUUUUAAAAUCUCUCUUGUGUCUUCCUGAUUUGUCCUAUUUAAAUUUUUUUGAUUAAUCAAUUUAUAUUUUCAUAUUGUUUUCUCUCUCUCUCUCUCUCAUAAUGUUAUGGUUUAGAUAGGAAUGGUCCAGGGUGGAAUGACA
rnacentral:lncRNA from 1 species